UAUUUCAUUUACGCAUUUCUCGUUUUACGCGGUACUCCGCAGGUUCAAUUGACCGCGUAAAUGAAGACCCAACUGUACUGUAGUGGCAAAGUAGUUGAAGUAGUGUGCAGGAACAACAACUGUUGAUGCAUUUCUAAGCAUGAGCAAACUCGUACAGUCCAUGCCGUUUAUAAGCCACACAGACUGGCGGCCUUGAAAUAACUGACUGGCAACUUUGCUGGGUGCAUCCCUCCCUCAUCUUACCAAAGUGUGAAGGUGAAGCUUUCCCCUCGAAUAUGUUAUCAUGGGUAAAUAACUUAAAAAAUGGCUUUUAUUCGCUUUUAAAACUUAUCCAUGCAUUUUGUUUUAGUUACAACCAUGAUAGAAGAGAAUGUAUUAGAACUUUGAAACAGGCACUGUUAUUUGCACCAGAUAUUCUACCAUUGAGGGUAGUGAGGUAUGAGCCCAGUGUAGUUGCCGUUUAGGAAUUUCAAGGCCACCAGGUCUCUGGCAUGGAUUACAAUGUAUCUUCAAAAAGGUAGGUAAUGUUCAUGGUACUGCACAUUGGCCUUGUAAUACAGAUUUUAAAAUUACUGUAAUGUUGAAGUACUGUACUUGUUACUGCUGCCAUAUUCUCAUAACUAACAGCUCGGUUGAAUGAAAAUGCCUUAAUAGUUGUAAUUGAUGGUGCAGGUUUUAAUAACUUUGGUGCAACAGCUAUACUAAUGUUAUCUACUUGGUUGUUAUACAUGACAAUGGUUUACUACCAUAAUGAUAACCCCGUAAUAACACAUAAAAAUAAAUUGAUUUUCUUGCUUCAUCAGAGUCAGGUCUUUUACAAGUGAAGAGAUGCCCAACCAUGUACGAGUAUUAUCCCUGUGAUGCAGAAGGUUCAUGACAGGUGCUGUAACUGACUGCAGGCAAGCAUAUCUGAAGAUGAGAAAGUGAUCGCCCUACUGCCAAGUGUGGGAACUGAAGUGCAUUAAACAAAUAUAAAAUUGAGGGUUGGGUAAAAUGGCAGGAGCCAAACGGUAGAAUUUACUUUAUUAAUCACCCGCAGCAGAACAACUUGGUGGGAUGAUCCACGGACACAAGGGAAUACUGUACCUGCGUCGUAGCAUCAGAUGCUGGAUCAUCUGCAUUAUUUGUAUAUUGGAUUCAACUUUCAAUAUUCUUGGGCAGACACCAGUAAAAUGAACAUGUGGAACAGGAAGUUUCUUGAUGACAUCAACAAAAAACGUAAGUACAGUAUAUGGUCAUACAUCAUCUAAUAUGUCAUCUAAUAAACAAACAUUAAAACUACAGUUUUGAUGCCCACUGACAUCCCCUUCAAUUGUGAGUUACAAAAUUUAAACCACAAAGACAAACACAGUCAUUCCCAUUGAGAUGGAUUUACAUUACAAUUUAGUGUUUAAUUUAAUUUUUGUUUAGUGUUGGGUUCAUUUGAAUCUUGUAUUACAUUGUCUGCUAGCUCCAACUGAAGCAGUUGUUUCACAUGCUCUGAUUGUACAGUAUCUAGUUGUUGUGCGUGUGCUGACUGUAUCGUGAGUCUCAGGGCUAAUUAGUGUUGUGUGGGUGGUCACUUGGCUCAUCGACUAACCGACAUGGUCAACCCAUUUCUUGUGUGUUCCUAAAACACAGAUCAUUAGGGAUAACAAGGAAUAAUAUCCGUGGAGUUGGCACGUAUUUGUGCAGCGAAGUUGACAAUCGGCGACUCGCCACCCAGUAUGCACUCCGAGGCCGAGUUAUUAUUUCUCAACUUGUAACUUUGGCUAGAUAUACAUAAUUUUCUUUAUUUUCAUUUACGCUGUUACAUGCACACAAUUACUCAUACAGAAUAUGCGAAAAAAUAAAAACUAACUAUCACAAAGUCAAAAACAUAAAGGGGAUAAACAGUUAUUAUGUGGUUCACUGUUGGCUAACAGAGCAGAGGGGGAGCCUGGGGUGGUGUGGGGAUUUCCCAGCUGUUUGCUGUCUCAUGUCCCAAGUGGAGUGUAAAAAUUGCAAAAUGGUGAAAUGAGGUAAGACAGUGUGUGUAGCUCAGGGGGGUAAUGUGGUCUGACAGUGGGGGAGUCAUAUCUUUUCAGGGGGUCAGGGGUCAGUUCCCCCCCUCCUCACUCAAGCAUGGCUAGUUGUGAUAGGGAGAUGAAUUUAAUACCAUAAUGAUCCUUAAUAAAUU
rnacentral:lncRNA from 1 species